rnacentral:lncRNA from 1 species
UUUUUUUUUUUUUUUUUUUUUUUUUUUUGAGACAGGGUUUCACUCCCACAGCCUAGGCAGGCUGGAAUGCAAUGGCGCGAUCUCGACUCACUGCAACCUCUGCCUCCCAAGCUCAAGCGAUUCUCCGGCGUCAGCCUCCGGAAGAGCUGGGACAGAGGUGCACACCAACGCACCUCGCUAAUUUUUGUAGAGACGGAGUUUCGCCAUGCUGCCCAGGCUGGUCCUGAACUUCUGAGCUCAAGCGAUCCGCCCGCCUCGGCCUCCCAAAGUGCUGGGAUUACAGGCGUGAGCCACUGCGCCAGGCCUGAUUCUCUUUUCCCUACUUGCAAAUGACACUAUUUUUGAGAGUUUUUGGUUUUUUCUUUUUAAAUCACCAUUGACUUCCCUCUUUGGCUGAGAUAAAUUUUGCUUAUCUUAGUGGGCAAAGAACAACAACUAAAAACAUGAGCCUUUGUCAGAUUAGUAUAUGCUGAAAAUUGUUACCACAAUAUUUUGAAAUAUGCUUUGAGGCUUUUUUCUGAACCGUUUUUAGAGUAAAAGGAUUAUUGCUUUGGUUUUUGUUUUUGCAAUGCUUGCUUUAAUUAUUACUUUGUUAUUAGCAAAGGAAACAUGUUAAGAGUUCGUUCUGAUUGUAUUUUUCCUCUAUGUUUAAAGAGGAGUGGAACCAUCUUAAGUAAAAGAAGCUUGCCACAA